rnacentral:rRNA from 1 species
CCAGAGAACUUAGCAGAGAUGCUUUGGUGCCUUCGGGAACUCUGAGACAGGUGCUGCAUGGCUGUCGUCAGCUCGUGUUGUGAAAUGUUGGGUUAAGUCCCGCAACGAGCGCAACCCUUAUCCUUGUUGCCAGCGGCUCGGCCGGGAACUCAAAGGAGACUGCCGGUGAUAAACCGGAGGAAGGUGGGGAUGACGUCAAGUCAUCAUGGCCCUUACGGCCAGGGCUACACACGUGCUACAAUGGCGCAUACAAGAGAAGCGACCUCGCGAGAGCAAGCGGACCUCAUAAAGUGCGUCGUAGUCCGGAUUGGAGUCUGCAACUCGACUCCAUGAAGUCGGAAUCGCUAGUAAUCGUAGAUCAGAAUGCUACGGUGAAUACGUUCCCGGGCCUUGUACACACCGCCCGUCACACCAUGGGAGUGGGUUGCAAAAGAAGUAGGUAGCUUAACCUUCGGGAGGGCGCUUACCACUUUGUGAUUCAUGACUGGGGUGAAGUCGUAACAAGGUAAGCGUAGCGAG